UACGUAGGGGGCAAGCGUUAUCCGGAUUUACUGGGUGUAAAGGGAGCGCAGGCGGCGCGUUAAGUCUGAUGUGAAAACCCGCGGCUCAACUGCGGGACUGCAUUUGAAACUGUCAGUCUUGAGUACCGGAGAGGUCAUCGGAAUUCCUUGUGUAGCGGUGAAAUGCGUAGAUAUAAGGAAGAACACCAGUGGCGAAGGCGGAUGACUGGACGGCAACUGACGGUGAGGCGCGAAAGCGUGGGGAGCAAACAGG
rnacentral:rRNA from 1 species